UACGUAGGGGGCGAGCGUUGUCCGGAAUUAUUGGGCGUAAAGAGCGUGUAGGCGGUUCGGUAAGUCUGCCGUGAAAACCUGGGGCUCAACCCCAGGCGUGCGGUGGAUACUGCCGGGCUAGAGGGUGGUAGAGGCGAGUGGAAUUCCCGGUGUAGCGGUGAAAUGCGCAGAUAUCGGGAGGAACACUAGUAGCGAAGGCGGCUCGCUGGGCCAUACCUGACGCUGAGACGCGAAAGCGUGGGGAGCAAACAGG
rnacentral:rRNA from 1 species